rnacentral:rRNA from 1 species
GACGAACCGUGCGAACGUUGUUCGGAAUCACUGGGCUUAAAGGGCGCGUAGGCGGCUUGCCAAGUCCGGGGUGAAAUCCUGCAGCUCAACUGUAGAAGUGCCUGGGAUACUGGCGAGCUUGAGGGAGGUAGGGGUGGGUGGAACUUCUGGUGGAGCGGUGAAAUGCGUUGAUAUCAGAAGGAACGCCGGUGGCGAAAGCGACCCACUGGAUCUCUACUGACGCUGAGGCGCGAAAGCUAGGGGAGCAAACG